GAUGAAGAACGUAGCGAAAUGCGAUAAGUAAUGUGAAUUGCAGAAUUCAGUGAAUCAUCGAAUCUUUGAACGCACAUUGCGCCCCUUGGUAUUCCGAGGGGCAUGCCUGUUCGAGCGUCAUAUUAACCACUCCCGCUUGCGGGGUCUUGGGCUUCGCCUCCGGGCGGGCCUUAAAAUCAGUGGCGGUGCCGUCGGGCUCUACGCGUAGUAAAUUUUCUCGCGAUAGGGUCCCGGUGGAUGCUUGCCAACAACCCCCAACUUCUUAAGGUUGACCUCGGAUCAGGUAGGGAUACCCGCUGAACUUAAGCAUAUCAAUAAGCGGAGUA
rnacentral:misc_RNA from 1 species